rnacentral:tRNA from 1 species
AAAACCAUAGGGUAAGGCGGUCUUCUAAGCUGUGGGUCGGGGGUUCGAGUCCCUCUGG